AUCCUAAUAAAAUAAAAUCUGAAACUUCACUACCAGAUGCCACUAAAUGUUACAUAAUGUACUUUUAACUUUUGCUCAGACUCUGAGAUCAGCAUUUCAAAUGAUUUAUGUUAAGUUGAAGCUCAUUUGGAAAGCUUUAGGAGCUUUGCCUGAUAUGUGUUUUUUUUUGCCAGACUCAGCUGUUGGCAAAUCUCCGCCACUGGGCCGGCGCCACACGGCAACCUCCGUGGUUGGUGCUGUCCCAGUAGGUUUUUGGAUUAGCUGGAAGACGAUGGCGUCACGACUUCCAAGAUGGCCACAGCACAUUGAGCUUCAGAAACCGAUAGGCAUUAGCCCAAUCAUCUCAUUCUGCACCAUCUGUCUGUUCCAAAACUAUAACGGAACAACACUGGGCCUCUGAGUGGAGCCGGGCUUUCACACUUCAAUACAGUGCCAAGUACAGCAGUGCUGAAUCCAGCCUUCAGUCUUCACUUUGAGUCUGCCUUAAAGCUGCAAGUCCAGCUGGCUGCUUCUCCAAUCAAUACAAUGAUCAGCUCUUCUGGUACUUUCUCUGUCACCUCUCCACUACAUUGGUUUGCUAUCAUGCUCAUGAUCCUAUUUAUGAAGCACCUCAUUUUGGUUGAUUCUUUGUUUUAUGAUGCAAAAAUGGGAGUUUAUUCCACUGUUUUCCAAAGAUACACAGGCUAAGAGUCUUAUUGUAAAGGCCUAACAUGACAUUUCACUAAAGUUCACAUUAUUUCCACAAGGUGCUCUGACCAGGAAGGAUGAUGUAUAUAUUGCUAAAGCUGCAACCAGCCAACUUCACACAUACAGUGGAAGCUCUCCAAGUUUUAUUGGACUCAUUAAUCUUUUACCGUCUUGCUGCUGUUGCUUCCAAGACAGUUUGGAUUAUACUUAAGUUUCAAUUGGUCAUUUCCUGUCUGUGCAUACUGUGCAGCAUUUCCACAGCUUUUUCAUCAAACACAACCUUUCUGAACCCAGCUCACUCAUCAUUCUCAACCUCAGGAGUCAGGUUGUCUAAAUCAAGUUGCGUUCUUAAGACUUGCCAACCAUCACAAGGUUUAUGAAGUAAUAUUUUUAGAUCAGGCCAGGUCUCAUUUGCAUUUAAAACAUAUUUUGAAUAAGCGGUGUAAGCUUAUUGUCCUGUGACAGAGCUUGCUCGGAGAGCUUCUUUACCCCCUUCAAUAACUCUUUACAAGUCAGCUGCAGUUGUUUUACUGGCUUGGAGUAGUCUUUACGUAUCCUGGCUUGGGGUUAAGAUGUCCUGAAAAAUUCGGGACAGUCCGGAAUUACAAGCUCGAUGUGAGUUGAGACUGGAAGGCAAAAAUGUUGAGGAGAGCUGACUUGGUGACUCAAUUAUAAUAAAAAAAAUACUGCACUUAACGUAUUGUUUAUUUUGAGCCCUGCCAAAUUAUCAGGAAUAAUAUAUAACAGAUAGAGAUACGAGCAGCUGCUGUCACCAGAAGAAAAGACUGAAUUUGAAUGAGAGAACCCUUCCAUUAAAUUAAACCAUAUGACAGAGAGAGCAGCCACCACUGUGGGAGGAAUCUGUGAUAGAAAUUAGGGCUGCAUAAUAAAUCCAACAUGAAGUACUGUAGGACUGCCUUGGCCUACAAUUUGUCUGUUACAGACCACAACAAAUGACACAUAAUUAUGGUAAUAGUUUAAGUGAUGGAAAAUGUGUAAUAUUUGUCAAAAUAAUCGCAGUAUGAUGUUUUCAUCAUAUCGGACUGCACCCUUAUAGAAAUAUCUAAAGAAUGUUUGUAAGCUAAGGCUUAGGAUACUGCUUCAUCCUUCAUACCAUCCUCAGUCAGAAUAAGGGGCCAUUUGACUAUGCCCAACUCAUCUGUCCCAAAUUUCACCCAUUCACAUCUUUAAAUCUUUACUCUUUUUUGGAGAUUGAGCCACAAUUUGAGUUUCAUAACGUCUGUUUCAUCUAGGGCUGGGUGAUAUGGCUUAAAAAUAAAAUCUCUGAUUUUUUCACACCAAA